UACGCGAAACGGAAGUGACGGCAAGCUUCCGCUAGGCGCACGGUACGGUGAGAGGGACGGGACAAUCUAGGUGGGGACGGUGGCGCGAGCGCGAGGAGGCGCUGUGGAGGCUGAAGAACGGCGUUUGAGCAAAGAGGCGAGAUUCCCUGGGGGCAUGUAGUGGAGACAAACUGAUCAUUCUAUCAUAGAAUGUUGGAUGAAUACCUACCCCACAGUCCUAGACAGAGAGAUUGUGUAUGUAUAGAAACACGACUGAUUUUUGUGUGCUGAUUUUGUAUUCUGCAACUUUGCUGAAUCCAUUUAUUCUUUUUUUUUUG